AGCUUUGCGCAGUGGCAGUAUUGUAGCCAAUGAGGUUUAUCCGAGGUGCGAUUAUUGCUAAUGGGAAACUUUUCCCAAUACCCUGCCAUGAUGACUUGAAAUAUAGUCAGCAUUAGCAAUUUUUGACAGUCUCUGCAGAGA
rnacentral:snRNA from 1 species